rnacentral:rRNA from 1 species
CGAGUGGCAAACGGGUGAGUAACGCGUAAGGAACUUACCUUUUGGACGGGGACAACCACGAGAAAUCGUGGCUAAUACCGGAUAAGAUCUUUUUUUCACAUGGGAGAAAGAUGAAACCAGUUUACUGGCCAAAAGAUAGCCUUGCGUCUGAUUAGUUUGUUGGUAAGGUAAUGGCUUACCAAGACUAUGAUCAGUAGCUGGUCUGAGAGGAUGAUCAGCCACAUUGGGACUGCGACACGGCCCAGACUCC